rnacentral:rRNA from 1 species
AGUGAACGCUGGCGGUAGGCCUAACACAUGCAAGUCGAACGGCAGCACAGUAAGAGCUUGCUCUUACGGGUGGCGAGUGGCGGACGGGUGAGGAAUACAUCGGAAUCUACUUUUUCGUGGGGGAUAACGUAGGGAAACUUACGCUAAUACCGCAUACGACCUACAGGUGAAAGCAGGGGAUCUUCGGACCUUGCGCGAUUGAAUGAGCCGAUGUCGGAUUAGCUAGUUGGCGGGGUAAAGGCCCACCAAGGCGACGAUCCGUAGCUGGUCUGAGAGGAUGAUCAGCCACACUGGAACUGAGACACGGUCCAGACUCCUACGGGAGGCAGCAGUGAGGAAUAUUGGACAAUGGGCGCAAGCCUGAUCCAGCCAUACCGCGUGGGUGAAGAAGGCCUUCGGGUUGUAAAGCCCUUUUGUUGGGAAAGAAAAGCAGCAGGUUAAUACCCCGCUGUUCUGACGGUACCCAAAGAAUAAGCACCGGCUAACUUCGUG